rnacentral:tRNA from 1 species
UGCCCGGUUGUGUAAUGGUAGCACACCAGCCUUUGGAGCUGGGCGUUGAGGUUCGAAUCCUCACCGGGCAAC